CAACAAAGCAGCAGCAAUAGCUAUUUGACAUUAUUUUUUAUUUUCCUAUUUUUAAAACCCUUAAUACAUUUUUGCCAGUGACCGUUUGGCCGAUCUUCGCCAGCUCAUCAGAAAAUCAUUUCUAAGAAAAUUUAUUUUCGCCGAAUAUUCUCAUUAAGCGAUGAAAGGAAAAUAACGAAAAUAUCAGAUAAUAAGAAAGGUAAAGUAUUAGAGUUUCAAAGGCCAAUGCAAAGACAAGAUAUUAUAGGACAUUUAAGUACACUUUUUAUUUCAGUGCCCCUUCUAUAUUAAAUUCAAAAUGAUGUCAAUGCUAAAUUUUAUUAUUAAAAGUUGGCAUAUGAAAAAGACUGCACUAUAUUGAACUAAAUAAAAGCUUCAUCCGGCCAAUAUACAUUUCCAUUAAACUUUAAAUUCUAAAUUGGCUUGAUCAUUUCGAAAAAGAGAGAACAGUUUGCAAAGAGGUCAUUGGUAAUUGCGUUCCGAUGUGACUGAGCUAUUUUUAUGGCCAACAAAAAAUUCACUAUCUAUUCACGUUCUUUAAUCGGGCUAACAACGAAAAGCCAACGAUAAAAUGGGUCACAAAAUGUGCAAUGCGUGUUGUGCGAACAACAACAUUAAAAAAAAAGCGAAAAAACAAUGGAAGCGAACAGCAAUCAAUCAUAUUAUUGAUAAAAGGCAACUUUGCAAGCGACGGCACAAAAAUAACAAAUAAACAAGUGCUAUUCUAAACUUUUGCUUUUCGUAUUCUCUGUGCAUGAGUAAUAAAAGUGUGUAGAUAUGGCCUGAUAAUGGGGUAGCGAGUUCUAAAUUUGUAGCGCUAUUCAAGUGAAAACCCGCCUGGUUGGGGGAUUACAAUUGAUCGCUUUUCCAAUUACAAAAGCCACCCCCGGAGGCAAACGAUUUUCAGAGCCCGCUGUUCCCGAUGUCGGUCAAAUAUGCUACCCAUUUUGCAUAUAAAACGCACAGCAUAUAGAAACACUGAAAGAAAUGGUUGCCACUUUGCUAUAUUUAAUUUUUAAUAGUUUCCUCUAUUUUGUUUUAUAUAUUUUAAUAAAAAUAAGUUAAAUUAUUGUUUAAUUUACAUAUACGAUAUCCAUUAAUAAGAACAGGUUUCGUAAUACUCGAAAAACUCUUUUUGAACAAAGUGUUGCAUACUUUAAAGAGUAUUUACAUAAGCAAUGUAUUUAUGGUACAAGGCGAGGUAUUAGCAACGGAAACUUAGUUUUACUUUUUCUAGUCUACAAAUGAAAUAUGCAAAGUAUCUGAGAAUUUUCUCGUGUGCACCAAACUAUCCAAUUUCUAAAGCUUUUCGUCUGUCCCUGGCCACGCACUUCAUUUUGGGCCGAGCGACCGGAAAACGUCUAUUGUUCGGAAAAAAGGGGGGAGAGAUGGGUAGACUGGGUAUCUUAAUUAGUUAAAUGCAGAGAGACAACAAAAUCGUUGUGCCAAUGAAAUGGCUCAGUCGGGCAUGAAAAACGGACCGCAGGUGCCCCACACUUUUCCAGUUUGAAUCUGGGCAGGGGAUGUGGCCAAAAGGAAAAUAAAACUGGCAUAAUCAAUACAAAAUUUUGCCCUACAAACGAGACCAGAGCGACCCCCAAAAAACAGCCGAAGAAACGACGACGACGACAACUACGACGACGAGAUUUUCCCGAGCUGCGGUCCCUUCCGCUCGUCAGCAACGACUGUGAUACCAAAAGUUUUCACUGCUGCCCGCUUUUCCGCGAAGCUGCCACUCGCCUACAUUUCACGAAGACGCACGACGAAAAAUCAAUCAUUCUCGCUUGUUUUGCUUUCGUGCGGUGUUUCGUGCUCUGUGCUUUUCGAACCCCCUUCGCGUUCCCACCACCCCCCUCUCAAUGACAACAGCCUUACAACAACAGCUGCUUGGGACGCUGCAGUGGCGACGGCGCAGUGUGGCCAUGUAAACGCAGCAAUCGAUAUAUCGAUAACUUUACAUGUCACCCGUCAUUGGGUUGGAAUAUAAAUAAUGCCCCCCUUCCUAAUGUUGUAACAAUAAAGUUAAGCACUUCAAUUAA